rnacentral:rRNA from 1 species
GACGAACGCUGGCGGCGUGCUUAACACAUGCAAGUCGAACGGUGAUGCUCCAGCUUGCUGGAGUGGAUCAGUGGCGAACGGGUGAGUAACACGUGAGCAACCUGCCCCAGUCUCUGGAAUAAGCGCUGGAAACGGCGUCUAAUACUGGAUACGAAACUGGCCCGCAUGGGCAUGGUUUGGAAAGUUUUUCGGUUUGGGAUGGGCUCGCGGCCUAUCAGCUUGUUGGUGAGGUAAUGGCUCACCAAGGCGACGACGGGUAGCCGGCCUGAGAGGGCGACCGGCCACACUGGGACUGAGACACGGCCCAGACUCCUACGGGAGGCAGCAGCGGGGAAUAUUGCACAAUGGGCGAAAGCCUGAUGCAGCGACGCCGCGUGAGGGAUGACGGCCUUCGGGUUGUAAACCUCUUUCAGCAGGGAAGAAGCGAAAGUGACGGUACCUGCAGAAGAAGCACCGGCUAACUACGUG